UAGAGUUUGAUCCUGGCUCAGAUUGAACGCUGGCGGCAGGCCUAACACAUGCAAGUCGAGCGGAAACGACACUAACAAUCCUUCGGGUGCGUUAAUGGGCGUCGAGCGGCGGACGGGUGAGUAAUGCCUAGGAAAUUGCCUUGAUGUGGGGGAUAACCAUUGGAAACGAUGGCUAAUACCGCAUAAUGCCUACGGGCCAAAGAGGGGGACCUUCGGGCCUCUCGCGUCAAGAUAUGCCUAGGUGGGAUUAGCUAGUUGGUGAGGUAAUGGCUCACCAAGGCGACGAUCCCUAGCUGGUCUGAGAGGAUGAUCAGCCACACUGGAACUGAGACACGGUCCAGACUCCUACGGGAGGCAGCAGUGGGGAAUAUUGCACAAUGGGCGAAAGCCUGAUGCAGCCAUGCCGCGUGUAUGAAGAAGGCCUUCGGGUUGUAAAGUACUUUCAGUUGUGAGGAAGGGGGUGUAGUUAAUAGCUGCAUCUCUUGACGUUAGCAACAGAAGAAGCACCGGCUAACUCCGUGCCAGCAGCCGCGGUAAUACGGAGGGUGCGAGCGUUAAUCGGAAUUACUGGGCGUAAAGCGCAUGCAGGUGGUUCAUUAAGUCAGAUGUGAAAGCCCGGGGCUCAACCUCGGAACUGCAUUUGAAACUGGUCAUCUAGAGUACUGUAGAGGGGGGUAGAAUUUCA
rnacentral:rRNA from 1 species